rnacentral:rRNA from 1 species
CCUACGGGUGGCAGCAGUGGGGAAUAUUGCACAAUGGGGGAAACCCUGAUGCAGCGACGCCGCGUGAAGGAAGAAGUAUUUCGGUAUGUAAACUUCUAUCAGCAGGGAAGAAAAUGACGGUACCUGACUAAUCAGCCCCUGCUAACUCCGUGCCAGCAGCCGCGGUAAUACGUAGUGGGCAAGCGUUAGCCGGAUUUACUGGGUGGAAAGGGAGCGUAGGCGGUGAUGCAAGUCAGAAGUGAAAGCCCGGGGCUCAACUCCGGGACUGCUUUUGAAACUGUGUUGCUAGAUUGCAGGAGAGGGAAGUAGAAUUCCUAGUGUAGCGGUGAAAUGCGUAGAUAUUAGGAGGAACACCAGUGGCGAAGGCGGCUUACUGGACUGUAAAUGACGCUGAGGCUCGAAAGCGUGGGGAGCAAACAGGAUUAGAUACCCUUGUAGUC